GUCCCUAUCGUCUAGAGGCCUAGGACAUGACCCUCUCAAGGUCAGAACAUGGGUUCGAAUCCCAUUGGGGACGCCA
rnacentral:tRNA from 7 species